rnacentral:hammerhead_ribozyme from 1 species
AUAGCUGACGAGUCCCAACUAGGACGAAACGCGCAUCCUGGAU